rnacentral:rRNA from 1 species
UACGGGGGGGGCAAGCGUUGUUCGGAAUUACUGGGCGUAAAGGGCUCGUAGGCGGCCAACUAAGUCAGACGUGAAAUCCCCAGGCUCAACCUGGGAACUGCGUCUGAUACUGGAUGGCUUGAAUCCGGGAGAGGGAUGCAGAAUUCCAGGUGUAGCGGUGAAAUGCGCAGAUAUCAGGAGGAACACCGAUGGCGAAGGCAGGUCUCUGGGCCACUACUGACGCUGAGAAGCGAAAGCAUGGGGAGCGAACAGG